UUGCAAUGAUGAGAGCUCAAUAUUAACGAAAGUAAAUGUACUUGAUGUGAAGUCAAUGUUGUGCGAUCUGAGCGGUUACCUAAGCAA